UACGUAGGCAGCAAGCGUUUGUUCGGAAUUACUGGGCGUAAAGAGUGUGUAGGCGGUGUUCUAAGUUUGGUGUGAAAUCUCCCGGCUCAACUGGGAGGGUGCGCCGAAAACUGGAAUGCUAGAGUAUGGGAGAGGUAAGCGGAAUUCCUGGUGUAGCGGUGAAAUGCGUAGAUAUCAGGAGGAACACCUGUGGUGUAGACAGCUUACUGGACCAUCACUGACGCUGAGACACGAAAGCGUGGGUAGCAAACAGG
rnacentral:rRNA from 1 species